GAUGAACGCUGGCGGCGUGCCUAAUACAUGCAAGUCGAGCGAACUGAUUAGAAGCUUGCUUCUAUAACGUUAGCGGCGGACGGGUGAGUAACACGUGGGUAACCUGCCUGUAAGACUGGGAUAACUUCGGGAAACCGAAGCUAAUACCGGAUAGGAUCUUCUCCUUCAUGGGAGAUGAUUGAAAGAUGGUUUCGGCUAUCACUUACAGAUGGGCCCGCGGUGCAUUAGCUAGUUGGUGAGGUAACGGCUCACCAAGGCAACGAUGCAUAGCCGACCUGAGAGGGUGAUCGGCCACACUGGGACUGAGACACGGCCCAGACUCCUACGGGAGGCAGCAGUAGGGAAUCUUCCGCAAUGGACGAAAGUCUGACGGAGCAACGCCGCGUGAGUGAUGAAGGCUUUCGGGUCGUAAAACUCUGUUGUUAGGGAAGAACAAGGAUGAGAGUAACUGUUCAUCCCUUGACGGUAUCUAACCAGAAAGCCACGGCUAACUACGUGCCAGCCGCCGCCGUAA
rnacentral:rRNA from 1 species